rnacentral:rRNA from 1 species
UUGAACGCUGGCGGCAUGCCUUACACAUGCAAGUCGAACGGUAGAGGGGCAACCCUUGAGAGUGGCGAACGGGUGAGUAAUGCAUCGGAACGUGCCCAGUCGUGGGGGAUAACGCAGCGAAAGCUGUGCUAAUACCGCAUGUGAUCUGUGGAUGAAAGCAGGGGACCGCAAGGCCUUGUGCGAUUGGAGCGGCCGAUGUCAGAUUAGCUAGUUGGUAGGGUAAAAGCCUACCAAGGCGACGAUCUG